rnacentral:rRNA from 1 species
GACGAACGCUGGCGGCGUGCUUAACACAUGCAAGUCGAACGGAAAGGCCCUGCUUGCAGGGUGCUCGAGUGGCGAACGGGUGAGUAACACGUGGGUGAUCUGCCCCUUACUUUGGGAUAAGCCUGGGAAACUGGGUCUAAUACUGGAUAGGACCAUGCUCUAGGUGGUGUGGUGUAGAGAUUAUUUUCGGUAAGGGAUGAGCUCGCGGCCUAUCAGCUUGUUGGUGGGGUAAUGGCCUACCAAGGCGUCGACGGGUAGCCGGCCUGAGAGGGUGGACGGCCAAAUUGGGAAUGGGAUGAGGGCCAGACUCCUAAGGGGGGGAGGAGUGGGGAAAAUUGGACAAUGGGGGCAAGCCUGAUGGAGCGACGCCGCGUGGGGGAUGAAGGCCUUCGGGGUGUAAACUCCUUUCAGCCAUGACGAAGCCCUUGUGGUGACGGUAGUGGUAGAAGAAGCACCGGCUAACUACGU